rnacentral:pre_miRNA from 1 species
UGCAGGCAGUCCUAUGGGUGUCUAGUCUGAUACCCGUAGACUUUCUGUCGGA